CUCAGGAAUCAGCUCUGGAAGGUUGAUCUAAAGGAACAGACGGCCCACACCACCGGAAGAGCAGCCCCCGCGGCGACACCCACCCUGGCCCGGCGACUCCAUCUCUGCGGCCAACCCCUGCCACAGCCCCAAGACCACCAACAGCCUCCCUCCCUCCUUUUCCUCCUUUUCUGUCUCUAUUUUCUGAUCUUCUCUCUGCUAUCCUUUGCUCAGGAGACUCAGAGCGUUCAGAGCCCCGUUCUCCCCGUCCCUCUUGAAUUAAUUUGCACUAAAAGUCGUUUGCACUGGUUGGGGUUCUGGAGCCAGCCCUGGUCUCUGAGCGUGUGUAAGCGCGUGUGUGUGCCCACUGCUGAAUGUGUAGGCCUCCUCGGCCCGACUGGGGGGCCCGAGUGUGAGGGGCCCCGCCUUCCCACACCUAGUCUGGAGGCUCCAAACAUCAGGAGCACACCAAGCAUUUCAUUGUGUGUCCAUCUCGCUCAUGUCCCUCCCUGCCAGGGCCUCCCCAGAAGCCCUGGAUUCAUCAAUAAACUCAGUUACAGGAAUUUGUCUCAGGACUCUUGCAUUUGAGAUGAACGGGGAGGGGGCUGGGGGGAAAAUGGGGCGAGGGAACACGAGAAGGCAAUCGGGCCGCAAGGGGCCAGACA
rnacentral:lncRNA from 1 species